rnacentral:rRNA from 1 species
UACGUAGGUGGCGAACGUUAUCCGGAGUGACUGGGUGUAAAGCGCACGUAGGUGGCGACGUAAGUCGGGUGUGAAAGCCCCGGGCUUAACCUGGGAAUGGCAUUUGGGACUGCAAGGCUUGAGUGCGGCAGAGGAGACUGGAAUUCCUGGUGUAGCAGUGAAAUGCGUAGAUAUCAGGAGGAAUACCGAUGGCGAAGGCAGGUCUCUGGGCUGACACUGACGCUCAUGCACGAAAGCGUGGGGAGCAAACAGG